GAGUAGCCCAAAACUCUCAAGCCCGUAAUCCUAAUCCAUUUUCCCCAAACGCUUCCAUCUGACCGUCUCUCUCGCUCGACUUCUCCUUCUUCCGCUUCCAGAGAUCCAGUUCCAGAUUUCCACUCUUCCAGAGUUCCAGUUCCAGACUUCCAGAAUCCUACAUUUCCUCACUUGGUUAGUUGGCUACUUGGCUUCGCAGUUCGCUCAAUUCAUUAAAGCCUCAAGUCUCUCUAUCGCUAGCGCGCACUCUCACAUAGAGAGAGAAAGCUAGGCAUAUUUUGGCAAUCAUAGAAAUUCGGGUUAGUUGAACAAUUUAGAGAGAAAAGUGUAUUAAGGCUCAAAUUGCAGUGGAAAAUGGAAGGUUCUGUGAUUCUAGCUCGAAGAAUGCUGUAAUAGCCGGAGGGUCGUGAGUUGUGAGUCUUGUGAUUGGAAUUCUCGAAGGUGUAACUCUACAGUUUUCAUAGAAAUUCUACUUCUCAGGAACAUGAAGUCACAGAACACUUAAAACCAACAUUGACCAAGGAGACAACGGGAGCAGUAAGAAAACCUAGUCAUUGAAUUUCACGCAAUAUCUGGGGUGAUGAUAUGACAUGUACCCAUACAGAUGGAUUUGGAAGAUAAAUUGUUGAGAUUUGAUAAGAUGCCUGACGGAGGAGAAACAAUGUAAGGAUUGAAAGGUACUUUCACAAAUUCAUUUUCAUGUUUCAAGUGACAUUUUUAGGACGUUUCGAAGGAGAAAAUGACAACUUUGUUGUGGUUGAAAUUGGAGUAAUUAUACAUGACUAAUAGUCCAACCAACAAAUUGCACCUGAUUCAAUGUCUAUAUUCUCAUUGCAUGAUAGAAGAGGGAUCUUUGGAAGAUCACCUGAUAGUUUUUAAGGAGAUCGCAGCGGAUAUAGAGAUUUAGAGGCAAAGUAAGAUGAAGAAGAUUUAGCCUUAAUUUUUUUUUUAAUGUUUAUUUCCCUCUUCUUUUAGAGAUAAGAUUUUGUAUAGUCGUGAUACUCUCACCAUUGAAGAUUUGUAUAAUGUUUUGUUUUCAAAAGAGACAAUAAAACAUCUAGUUGGAUCUAA